UAAAAACUGCACAUUAUGGAGUUGCUGUCAUGCUGUAUGCUUGUCCCUUUCUGUGUUGGAGUCUGACUGGAGAAUCCCGUGAGCUGCUCGUCACGAAGGCCCAAACCAUGUGUGAGCUGACUCGGGUGGAAGAGGCUCAAACUCCAGGCUGGGAUUAGAAGCCAGUUUCCUUUGUGUUGCUAUAUUCAGUUCCUGUCUGGAGCUUCUUCAUGUUGGUAGUAUUGGUUAGAUUCCAGAAGAUUACUUUUGGUAAGUAAUGUAGUGAUCAAAUUUGAUAUAAUUUAACUAUUUAUUUGUCUUCAGGGGUUGAGGCUGUCUGCAGAGUAGCAGCCCAGAUGGUGUGUCUGGGCCUCUCAUCUGCCCCUCCCAUUCUCAGUUGUUUUGACUGCUAUGGCUGGUUCGACACCUGCAGAAUCAAGGGGAACAUUGAAAAACUAACUCUUCCAAAUGGCAUGCCAGACUCACUAGAUUAUCUUCACUGCAAGAUGAAGACCACCUUUAGGUUAAAGGGCCUCCUCUGACUUCAAUACAUGGCCAAAGAUGAUUGCAAUUCCUUUUAAAUCAAUUCUACCACUGGAUUUCAUGGACAAUUGGUUCAAUAUGCGUUUGCAAGAAACCUGGUGGAGACCGUGGUGCCAUGAGUACAAACAAAAGAUGUUUUGAACUGGACAUAAAAAAGAAAGUCAACCUCCGCAUAGUGCUGUACACUUCAGUGUAACCCCAACACUAGGAGAGGGAGAAGAUGGGCGAGGCCUGGGCUCUCAUCAAGGACGGUCCAGAGAAGACAACAGGCUCCUGCCUUGAGGAUCCCCAGAAGUGGUCAAGCAGUUUCAGCCUCCUGUGACGGUCAAUUACCAGCAGUCUUUAGUGAUUUGAGUGAACGGACAAUUGAGAGAACACAACAGGCUCCUGCUUCAGGGUCAACCAGCUUUAGCCUCCUGUGGAAAUUGCCCAACCAACUUAGCGAUUUGAGUAACAGGACGAUAGAAUCCAACUCUCUACAGGCUUUUCCAGAUCUCGUUGACCGGAUUUGGCAGAAGGUAAGACAUUUUUUUUUAGCUGGG